CCCUUAGAUGUCCUGGGCCGCACGCGCGCUACACUGAUGCAUUCAACGAGUUUUUCCUUGGCCGAGAGGCCUGGGCAAUCUUUUGAACGUGCAUCGUGAUAGGGAUAGAUUAUUGCAAUUAUUAAUCUUGAACGAGGAAUUCCUAGUAAACGCAGAUCAUCAAUCUGCAUUGAUUACGUCCCUGCCCUUUGUACACACCGCCCGUCGCACCUACCGAUUGAAUGGUCCGGCGAAGCCUCGGGAUUGUGGCGAGUUCCCUUUAUUGGGAGUUUGUCGCGAGAACUUGUCUAAACCUUAUCAUUUAGAGGAAGGUGAAGUCGUAACA
rnacentral:rRNA from 1 species